rnacentral:rRNA from 1 species
AGCGGCGAACGGGUGAGUAACACGUAGGUGAUCUGCCCAUCAGACGGGGACAACGAUUGGAAACGAUCGCUAAUACCGGAUAGGACGAAAGUUUAAAGGUGCUUCUGGCACCGCUGAUGGAUGAGCCUGCGGCGCAUUAGCUAGUUGGUAGGGUAAAGGCCUACCAAGGCGACGAUGCGUAGCCGACCUGAGAGGGUGAACGGCCACACUGGGACUGAGACACGGCCCAGACUCCUACGGGAGGCAGCAGUAGGGAAUCUUCGGCAAUGGGCGAAAGCCUGACCGAGCAACGCCGCGUGAAUGAUGAAGGCCUUCGGGUUGUAAAAUUCUGUUAUAAGGGAAGAACGACUUUAGUAGGAAAUGGCCAGAGUGUGACGGUACCUUAUGAGAAAGCCACGGCUAACUACGUGCCAGCAGCCGCGGUAAUACGUAGGUGGCGAGCGUUAUCCGGAAUUAUUGGGCGUAAAGAGCGCGCAGGUGGUUGAUUAAGUCUGAUGUGAAAGCCCACGGCUUAACCGUGGAGGGUCAUUGGAAACUGGUCGACUUGAGUGCAGAAGAGGGAAGUGGAAUUCCAUGUGUAGCGGUGAAAUGCGUAGAGAUAUGGAGGAACACCAGUGGCGAAGGCGGCUUCCUGGUCUGUAACUGACACUGAGGCGCGAAAGCGUGGGGAGCAAACAGGAUUAGAUACCCUGGUAGUCCACGCCGUAAACGAUGAGUGCUAAGUGU